rnacentral:rRNA from 1 species
AUGCUUGAGCAUCCAAACUCGUGCCAAAGGAUGGGGUGGCGGCGGAUUAGCUUUGUUGGUGAGGUAACGGCUCACCAAGGCGACGAUCUGUACGGGCGAUGAGAGUCGUAGCCCGGAGAGGGACACUGAGAAACUGGUCCCAGCCCUACGGGGUGCAGCAGGCGCGGAACCUCUACAAUGCACGAAAGUGUGAUAGGGGGAUCCUCAGUGCCCAUGGUUUCCAUGGGCUUUUGUCAAGAGUAAAUAUCUUGGCGAAUAAGUGGUGGGUAAGACUGGUGCCAGCAGCCGCGGUAACACCAGCGCCACGAGUGGCAUUCACAUUUAUUGGGUCUAAAGCGUUCGUAGCCGGGUGUACACAUCUCUUGUGAAAUGGACCGACUUAAUCGUUCCGACUGCUUGAGACACGGUACACCUUGGGACCGGGAGGAGCUAGAGGUAUGCCUAGGGGAGCGGUAAAAUGUGAUAAUCCUAGGUAGACCACCUGCGGCGAAGGCGUCUAGCUAGAACGGAUCCGACGGUGAGGAACGAAGGCCAGGGGAGCGAACCGGAUUAGAUACCCGAGUAGUCCUGGCAGUAAACGCUGCGUGCUAGGUGUAGUGUGUCCUAUAGGACAUGCUGUAUCGAAUCGAAGGAGUUAAGCACGCCACCUGGGAAGUACGGUCGCAAGACUGACAACUUUAAAGGAAUUGGCGGGGGAGCACUACAAGGGGUGCGGCGUGCGGUUUUAAUCUAACUCAACACAGAGAAUCUCACCAGAGGCGACUGCAGGAUGAAGGUCAGUCUAAAGGGCUUACCUGACGCGCAGAGAGGUAGUGCAUGGCCGUCGUCAGCUCGUGCUGUAAGGUGUCCUGUUAAGUCAGGUAACGAGCGAGACCUGCGCUCACAAUUGCCAGCAGUAUCCACGGAUAGACUGGGCACAUUGUGAGGACUGCUCCGGAAACGGAGAGGAAGGUGCAGGCUACGGUAGGUCUGUAUGCUCCGAAUCUUCUGGGCAACACGCGCGCAACAAUGGUAUGGACAAUGGGAUACUACUCCGAAAGGAGACGUUAAACCUCGAAACCAUAUCCAAGUACAGAUCGAGGGUUGGAACUCACCCUCGUGACGCUGGAAUCCCUAGUAAUCGGAAGUCAUCAACUUCCGGUGAAUACGUCCCUGCUCCUUGCACACACCGCCCGUCAAACCACUCGAGCAUAGUUUCAGUGAGUCUAUAACUUUGUGUUACAGCCAAACUGA